rnacentral:rRNA from 1 species
AUGGACCUCGAGUUGCUUCGCUUCUCAUCUCCUCACCACGUGCCGCUGUUCUUCUUUCUUUCCCUAGAGCGGGACGAAGGGUUGAGCAGGGGUAGAACGCUACCAAAUUUUGGGGAAAACCGAGAGCGGGACAAAGGGGCUGCAUGCUUGUUGCCACGGACAGGCCAAUAUUCCGCUUUGAUCCCCAGCCUGAAUACCAUGACCUGCCAACAACAACAUUUGGGUAUCCCAAUGCCAAUGUCUAAUGGUGGGCCUCAUCAUCAACCUCCAAACGGUGUGUUAUCAAAAGACACUUGUAUUAUGGUGAGCUUGUAA